rnacentral:rRNA from 1 species
GAUGAACGCUGGCGGCGUGCCUAAUACAUGCAAGUCGAGCGAACAGAUGAGGAGCUUGCUCCUCUGACGUUAGCGGCGGACGGGUGAGUAACACGUGGAUAACCUACCUAUAAGACUGGGAUAACUUCGGGAAACCGGAGCUAAUACCGGAUAAUAUAUUGAACCGCAUGUUCAAUAGUGAAAGACGGUUUUGCUGUCACUUAUAGAUGGACCCGCGCCGCAUUAGCUAGUUGGUAAGGUAACGGCUUACCAAGGCAACGAUGCGUAGCCGACCUGAGAGGGUGAUCGGCCACACUGGAACUGAGACACGGUCCAGACUCCUACGGGAGGCAGCAGUAGGGAAUCUUCCGCAAUGGGCGAAAGCUUGACGGAGCAACGCCGCGUGAGUGAUGAAGGUCUUCGGAUCGUAAAACUCUGUUAUUAGGGAAGAACAAAUGUGUAAGUAACUAUGCACGUCUUGACGGUACCUAAUCAGAAAGCCACGGCUAACUACGUG